rnacentral:rRNA from 1 species
CCCUUAGACGUUCUGGGCCGCACGCGCGCUACACUGACGAAGGCAACGAGCUUUCCUUUACCGAAAGGUACGGGUAAUCUUUUGAAACUUCGUCGUGCUGGGGAUAGAUCCUUGCAAUUUUUGAUCUUAAACGAGGAAUGCCUAGUAAGUGCAAGUCAUCAACUUGCGUUGAUUACGUCCCUGCCCUUUGUACACACCGCCCGUCGCUACUACCGAUUGAAUGGUUUAGUGAGGCCUUCGGAUCCGCGACUCGUUUUGUGGAGAAGUUGGACAAACUCAGUCAUUUAGAGGAAGUAAAAGUCGUAACA